rnacentral:lncRNA from 1 species
AAAAUUUUGAAUUUUAUACAUUUUGAUCCAAACUGAUGAACUCAAGCACUUAUAAGAACUUAUGAUGUUAUUCUAGAGUAUAUUGUAACAGUUUAAGAGUCUCAAACAUUGUUUUAGUAGCUUUUUAAUGAAAUUUUCACAAAUUUACAAACCUUCUUAUAAAAUAACAUGUAACACUUUAAAUUGAUUUGGAUCUUCUGAACAUUUCUAUGCAUAUAACACAAAUAAAAAUAAUCUUAAUCUUGAGUAUUAUAACAAAAAUAUAAACAAUUUUGUGACCAAAAUAUUGUUACAAAUAAGAC